GACGUAGGAGGCGAGCGUUGUCCGGAUUCAUUGGGCGUAAAGAGCACGCAGGCGGUUUGGCAAGUCGGAUGUGAAAACCCGAAGCUCAACUUCGGGCCUGCAUCCGAAACUGCCCGACUAGAGGUAGGUAGGGGAGAUCGGAAUUCCUGGUGUAGCGGUGAAAUGCGCAGAUAUCAGGAGGAACACCGGUGGCGAAGGCGGAUCUCUGGGCCU
rnacentral:rRNA from 1 species